GAUGAACGCUAGCGACAGGCCUAACACAUGCAAGUCGAGGGGCAGCACGGUGUAGCAAUACACGGGUGGCGACCGGCGCACGGGUGAGUAACGCGUAUGCAACCUGCCUACUACAAGGGGAUAACCCGUUGAAAGACGGACUAAUACCCUAUAACACAGGGAAUCCGCAUGGAUAUAUUUGUUAAAGAUUUAUCGGUAGUAGAUGGGCAUGCGUUCCAUUAGCUUGUUGGUGAGGUAACGGCUCACCAAGGCAACGAUGGAUAGGGGAACUGAGAGGUUGAUCCCCCACACUGGAACUGAGACACGGUCCAGACUCCUACGGGAGGCAGCAGUGAGGAAUAUUGGUCAAUGGACGAGAGUCUGAACCAGCCAAGUCGCGUGAAGGAAGACGGCCCUACGGGUUGUAAACUUCUUUUGUAAGGGAUAAAUAGUCUUACGCGCUAAGACGUUGCAGGUACCUUACGAAUAAGGAUCGGCUAACUCCGUGCCAGCAGCCGCGGUAAUAGUCACG
rnacentral:rRNA from 1 species